rnacentral:rRNA from 1 species
UACGGGGGGGGCAAGCGUUGUUCGGAAUUACUGGGCGUAAAGGGCUCGUAGGUGGCCAACUUAGUCAGACGUGAAAUCCCCAGGCUCAACUUGGGAACUGCGUCUGAUACUGGAUGGCUUGAAUUCGGGAGAGGGAUGCAGAAUUCCAGGUGUAGCGGUGAAAUGCGUAGAUAUCUGGAGGAAUACCGGUGGCGAAGGCGGCAUCCUGGACCGAGAUUGACACUGAAAAGCGAAAGCCAGGGGAGCAAACGGG